UAGUCCACGCCGUAAACGAUGUCAACUAGCCGUUGGUUUCCUUGAGGAAGCAGUGGCGCAGCUAACGCGAUAAGUAGACCGCCUGGGGAGUACGGCCGCAAGGUUAAAACUCAAAUGAAUUGACGGGGGCCCGCACAAGCGGAGGAACAUGUGGUUUAAUUCGAUGAUACGCGAGGAACCUUACCUGGACUUAAAUGUAGAUUGCAUAGCUUAGAGAUAGGCUUUUCUUCGGACUAUUUACAAGGUGCUGCAUGGUUGUCGUCAGCUCGUGCCGUGAGGUGUCGGGUUAAGUCCCAUAACGAGCGCAACCCCUAUCCUUAGUUGCCAGCGGGUCAUGCCGGGGACUCUGAGGAGACUGCCACCGUAAGGUGUGAGGAAGGUGGGGAUGACGUCAAAUCAGCACGGCCCUUAUGUCCAGGGCUACACACGUGUUACAAUGGACGGUACAAAGGGCAGCUACCUGGCGACAGGAUGCUAAUCUCUAAAGCCGUUCUCAGUUCGGAUCGAAGU
rnacentral:rRNA from 1 species